rfam:Salmo salar isolate Sally breed double haploid chromosome ssa14, whole genome shotgun sequence.
UUAUUUUUAACCUUUAUGUCGCUCUGGAUAAGAGCGUCUGCUAAAUGACUUAAA